AUUGAACGCUGGCGGCAGGCCUAACACAUGCAAGUCGAACGAGUGGCGGACGGGUGAGUAAUGUCUGGGAAACUGCCCGAUGGAGGGGGAUAACUAAUGGAAACGGUAGCUAAUACCGCAUACCAUCGGAUGUGCCCAGAUGGGAUUAGCUAGUAGGUGGGGUAAAGGCUCACCUGGGCGACGAUCCCUAGCUGGUCGUAGAGGAUGACCGGCCAAACUGGAACGGAUACACGGACCAGACUCCUACGUGAGGCAGCAGUGGGGAAUAUUGCACAAUGGGCGCAAUCCUGAUGCAGCCAUGCCGCUUGUAUGAAGAAGGCCUUCGGGUUGUAAAGUACUUUCAGCGGGGAUGCGUUACCCGAAGAAGAAGCACCGGCUAACUCCGUGCCAGCCGCCGCGGUAAUAC
rnacentral:rRNA from 1 species